rnacentral:rRNA from 1 species
UACGUAGGGGGUAAGCGUUGUUCGGAAUUACUGGGCGUAAAGGGCGCGUAGGCGGCCCGGCAAGUCAGGAGUGAAAGCCCUGGGCUCAACCCGGGAACUGCUUUUGAAACUGCCGAGCUAGAGUGCGGAAGGGGCAACUGGAAUUCCCAGUGUAGCGGUGAAAUGCGUAGAUAUUGGGAAGAACACCUGAGGCGAAGGCGGGUUGCUGGGCCGACACUGACGCUGAGGCGCGAAAGCCAGGGGAGCGAACGGG